rnacentral:rRNA from 1 species
CAUUACCGAGUGCGGGCCCCUCGGGGCCCAACCUCCCACCCGUGUUGCCCGAACCUAUGUUGCCUCGGCGGGCCCCGCGCCCGCCGACGGCCCCCCUGAACGCUGUCUGAAGUUGCAGUCUGAGACCUAUAACGAAAUUAGUUAAAACUUUCAACAACGGAUCUCUUGGUUCCGGCAUCGAUGAAGAACGCAGCGAAAUGCGAUAACUAAUGUGAAUUGCAGAAUUCAGUGAAUCAUCGAGUCUUUGAACGCACAUUGCGCCCUCUGGUAUUCCGGAGGGCAUGCCUGUCCGAGCGUCAUUGCUGCCCUCAAGCCCGGCUUGUGUGUUGGGCCCCGUCCCCCCCGCCGGGGGGACGGGCCCGAAAGGCAGCGGCGGCACCGCGUCCGGUCCUCGAGCGUAUGGGGCUUCGUCACCCGCUCUAGUAGGCCCGGCCGGCGCCAGCCGACCCCCAACCUUUAAUUAUCUCAGGUUGACCUCGGAUCAGGUAGGGAUACCCGCUG